GCCGAUGUGGCGGAAUGGUAGACGCGGUAGAUUCAAAAUCUACUCUUCGCAAGAGGGUGCUGGUUCGAGUCCGGUCAUCGGCA
rnacentral:tRNA from 1 species